GAUCUUCAUUACAGCUCCUCUACUUUAAAAUGAAGAGGGUUGAACCAGUCAUUCCAAUUCUGGCUAACAUUAUGAAAACAGAAGUCCAUUAUACAACACUUAAGGAACAAUCUGGGUCUAACAUAAAAAGUUGUCAAAUAUGCUGGACAAAGGUUUGGCACCACAAGUGAUGCUUUCUAAAGGGAAAACUGUUUCUUCAUGCUUGCAGGUGCUACUUUCAUUUGAAAUUUUGGGCUGCCAGUUUGAGGUAUGUUAAAGACUGAGUUUACAAUUAACUGAACAGACAGCGUACAAAAGGCUUUUAGAACUAUACCAUAUGGUCUAGGGAAAGGAACAAUCUGGACUAUCCACAUUUCAAUCUGCAGGCUUGUCCACCUCUAUAACACAUUAUACUGCUGUAAUAAAAUAUUAAGAUAGAAAUGUAAAAGUGAAAAUAAUCUCUCUCUCUCAUUACCAGGCAACAAGGCAUCCUACAAAUAGAAUGAUAUAUUUAACAGAACCUAAAUUAUAAUAAGCAUUAUGAUUUUGGUAUGCAGCACCAGACAUAGGCACUAAGGUGCCCUUUUCAACUGAAACAAUAUUUCUGCGGGGAUACUGGUGGGUAUUCAGCUGAUACUUCAGAAAAAUACGAAACACCAGUUUUACAUGGGGCAUAUUGGCAAGGGUUUAUAUAACAGAUGACACAUUCUUGGAAAUCAAAUAAAGGCAACAGGAAAAUACCCAUUGUUGCCUAGUGAAGGUCUAAUCACAUGGUCACAGCUGGAAUCAAUGUACAUCAUUCAUUAAUAAAAUACUAUUGCAGUACCCAUUGCUGCUGCUUUUCAAUGUCAUUACAAAAAACCCUUAUAAGUCUUUGUAGAGAAUACAUAUGCAUAAAUUCUAGAAUACAUACAAAAUUACUAAAUAAUGUUUGCAGAAGCAAAAGAAACUUCUACAACAGAGGCAAUAUUAAAACCUCAGCACAGCUACACAUACAUUAUGUUCCAGAAAGAUAUUUGGUGCAUUUAUAAAUGUAAAAAAGAGCACAUCUAUAGUACGAUGUACACAAAUUGAGCUAUCAGAUAUCAAAGAAAGAAAAUGAAACAUUUUGUAA